ensembl:lncRNA
UGUGUAUAUGAAGUCUGUCUUUGGAUUUCUUAGUUAAUUUCUCAAUGUACCAUAUUUGAACAGGUUAGGGAGGACACAGUUUCCAAGAGUAACAUCAAAGAGAGUCAGCCACCAUCCCUGUCAGAACCUGUUCUGUCUACUUGUUCCUCAGCAAGUGAUCAGGUUAGGGAGGACACAGUUUCCAGGAGUAACAUCAAAGAGAGUCAGCCACCAUCCCUGUCAGAACCUGUUCUUUCUACUUGUUCCUCAGCAAGUGAUCAGGUUAGGGAGGACACGGUUUCCAGGAGUAACAUCAAAGAGAGUCAGCCACCAUCCCUGUCAGAACCUGUUCUUUCUACUUGUUCCUCAGCAAGUGAUCAGGUAAGCCUCUUUUGGUCAUUGACAGG